GUUGUACUCCCAGUUACAGUUUUGACGUCACACACACAUAAACAACAACGGCGACCCCUGUUGAUGCCGUUCAGAUGCCGGUGACUAGCAAUGAGA